AGCUUAAUUAAAGUGUUUGAGUUGCAUUCAGGAGAUGUAAAUUAAAGUUUUACAAGCCUU
rnacentral:tRNA from 1 species